rnacentral:lncRNA from 1 species
CCGGACCGUUAAACAUAUAGCGACACUAUAGUCGGACUUUUCUCUCUCAUCUCAGCCUAGCCUAUCUUCAGAGCCCAACUAACCUCCCAAGUUGUAUGCAGAUGUCCGAUCGCGAUCCGAUGUCUUUAAAUAGUCUCCAUUUGGACCCGUGCUAUAUAUAAAGAGACAACCCUAGCUAAAUCAGUCAAAACCAAAAAAUUAGGAGGCUUGUCCCGUCGCCGCCGCCAUCCAUCUUCCUCGGGAUCCCCAUCGCUCAAAUCCCACGCUAUCUCUGUUUCCCCACCGAGCCAAUCCCCUCCACCUCGCAGCAGCCAGCCCCGCGCCUCCCUUCUCCUGCGGGGACGCGUCCCCGCCACGGCAAGCCACAACAGCCAGGACCCGGGAGCCUCGCGCCCACAGCCAGGUGCUGCACCUCGAGCUCCUGAGCGUGCUGCCCGACCCCGCCGACUCCUCCGACCGGCCGGCCGCUGAGCCGCCGGAGCCGCAACAGCCAGUCACCGGCGCGACCGCCGCCUUGACCUCCCAGCACCGCAAGGCCCGUGGCCUCCUUCUCUUCCCUCUCUCACUUGUUCUCCCUCUCACGCAUCCCUCUCUCUGUUGGAUAUGCGCAGGAGCUGUCCUGUCAUGGGCGCGUCCUGCGCGAGCUUGCAGGUCGCCGCCGAAGCUCCUGGGCGGCCGUGUGAUGUCGGGAAUCGGUCCCUGCCGCCCGGAUCCUCCCGUCCCCAUUGUGGAUCUGGAUCCCCACGUCCUCCUCGUGUCGCCUGAGCCCGGAGCCGCCACCACGAUUGCAGCUAGGCCGACCCUGUUUCACCUGGUGUUCGUGAGGUACAACAAGGCGUUGUUCUGUUUUCAGUUUCAGAUCCGCGGUAGUGUUGUUUCUCAUAGUUAAAGCUCCAUUGUUUGACGCAAAUACUUGGUAGCUGAGUUGGUCAUCGUCGCUCUAUGUAAAUGAUGGGUCUGGUGUUCAAAUCCCAUGCACCCUGAUUUUCCUGCACACUUGCAUGUGCCUUGUAGUGAGACUCAAGGGGUCCUGGGUUUGAAUCCUAGACACCCCAAUAUUUUGCUUUGUCUCAUUUUUAGAUUCAGAUUCGCAUCAGCAUAAUUUCAUAUAGUGUGAACCUUGGUUUUGUCACAAGCGCUUUGUAGACGACUGGUUGGUGCCUUGACUUCCUCAAGGGAGGUCCUGAGAUCGAAUCCCAGGGUAGCCCAAGCUGUUGCAAUUCGGCCUAUGCUUAUUUAUUUUUCCUUCAGCGAUUUCAUCAAUAACCUAGCCCUGCAUUGUUGUAUGAGUUACGAGUAGGUCCUUCUGUAGAUGCCAUGUUAGUUGCACGUACCCCAUAUUCAUGCCUCCGGUACAUGGGAACCUAGUAACCAUGAUCAUCCCAUCAUUCUUUGGCAUGACACACACACUCUCAAUUCGUUUGCACCGGUAUCUGAUGCUUAUUUAUUUUUCCUUCAGCGAUUUCAUCAAUAACCUAGCCAUGCAUUGUUGUAUGAGUUACGAGUAGGUCCUUUUGUAGAUGCCAUGUUAGUUGCACGUACCCCAUAUUCAUGCCUCCGGUACAUGGGAACCUAGUAACCAUGAUCACCCCAUCAUUCUUUGGCAUGACACACACUCUCUCAAUUCGUUUGCACCGGUAUCUGACACGCACACACUCCCAAUUCGUUUGCACCGGUAUCUUGUCGAGUUAUCGGAACCGGAACGCUAUUGUGGUUGUCAUUUGCAUGCAUGUUGCAUCCAUGUCAUAUGAUCUUGUGUUUCUCGUAUCUAGUUAACCAACUAGAAUGACGUGUAGAAUCACAUGCUUCACCUCUUGUCAUGUUUAAACAACAUUUAAUAUUGCCAUGUAUCUAAAAGGGAGUGAACUAAAUAAUUUGUAUGUGAAGUUUCAUCAAAAUGUAACUCGUUUCAUGUUGAACUCCGCUUAAUGUGUAGUGUUUGAUUGUUGUGAAUAGCCAUGCCAUGCCUUGCAUAAUUGAACCGAUCAUGCAUCAUAUUAGGGGGUGCAUCAUAUCGUGCAUGUGACAUGGUGAAUAUCGUGUGUUGAUUCUUGUCUCCAGUUUGCUUCUUCUCGUUAGAGUUCCGCAAGCGUGUCGGAAUGUGAGGAUCCGUUCGACUACGUCGGUUCGUUUGCUUCACAGAUUCGUUCUUCGUCCAAGUGGGAUCACACGCAAGACGAUCAUUUCCCUAGAUACCAUUACUAUUAAUGCCGUGCUAGUUGUCUCAUUUCUUUCAUUAUGUCUCGUUGUCUACCACCUAUUAAAUGUCAGCCUCUCAACAUUGCCAUGGAACCUUCAACUUCUACAACCUUGCAAACCACUGUUUGGCUAUAUUACCGCUUGCUUAACCAUGUGUUAGCGUUGCUAGUUGCAGGUGUCGUUGCUUCCAUGUGGUAACAUGGGUUUCUUGUUAUAUCAUCAUAUUAUUGCUAAUUAAUUUAGCAGACCUAUAUACUUGGUAAAAGGUGGAAGGCUUGGCUUUCUAGCCUAGUGUUUUGUUCCACCUUUGUUGCCUCAGUUUCGGCUACCGCUGUUAUAUUCCACAAUUGAGCGCUCCUAACACGAUCAGAGUUGUUAUGGGAACCCCCUUGAUAAUUCGUCUUAGAUUAAAACUGGUCUGGCAAGACCCAACUUUGGUACUAUAUUUGCCUAAUUAACUAAUGAACCACAAAGGGUUUGAUCACCCCGUGGAUAAUUAAUCAACCCCCACGCGAGUGCUCCUCAAGAGUGUUGGUCCAAACUAGAGUCGUGUGCGGGGCCAACCCGGGGCAACUCAUGAGAUCUCUAUCACGCCACUGUAUGCUGCGCUCAUCCGGUCGUGUCCUGAGAACGAGAUACGCGACUCCUAUAAGGUUCGUCGACACGUCGGGCGGCCUUGCUGGACUUUUUUUUUACCUUUUACGAAAUAUCUUGUUCAUCGGGAUUCCGGUGAUGCUUUAGGUUAUCUCAGAGUUGAGGUUUUCCACUAAGGAAUCCGAGGAGAUCAUGAGUCUCGUGAUCGAGGCUUUCUAUGUGGCUUGUGGUAGUUUGUGAUGGAUUAGUUGGAGCACCCCUCCAGGGUUAAAUAUUUCAGAACGCCAUGCCCGCGGUUAUGUGGCAACGUGGAAACUUUGUUUAACAUCUGCUUCUAGAGAACUUGAAGUAAGGUUAAUUAAAAUAUGCCAACUUUGUGCGUAUUCGUGACUGUCUCUCUCGUGAGUUCCUUUCUCCGACUGAGGACAUGGUGGGGUUAUGUCUGACGUAAGUAGGUGUUCAGGGUCAUUCAUUUGAUCAUCAUUAAUUCAUGUCUAUUAUGCGUAGGUCAUCCCCCUCUUAUUCUUGUACUCGUAAGUUAGCCAUCUCAAAUAAAUGUUUAGUCACUUGCUGCACCCUCACCACUUAACCAUAUCUCACACAUUAAGCUUUGCUAGUCUUAGAUACAUUUGGAACUGAGAUUGCUGAGUUCCCUGUGGCUCACAGAUUACUACAACACCAGUUGCAGGUACAUGUAAAGUGAUAUUAAGACGUCAGCGCGAUGUUGUGCUAUUUGGAGUUUCUUCUUCAUCAUCGAUCUCGGAUUGGUUCCAGGCCGGCAGCCUGGGAUAGCAAGGAUGGACAUCGUUCUUUUAUUGUUUGUUCUCGUCCGUAGUCGGACCCUGCUCUUCCUCAUGAUGAUUGUAUAUUGUUGUAUUGAUGUGAACUUGAUGUAGCUUGUGGCGAGUGUAAGACAAUUCCAUAUACUCAUCUAUUCUGUACAUGUAAUUGUAACGAUAUCCAUUAUUACAAAACGACGAGAUGCGCUUCUAUCCGUGUCGAGGCCCUCGUGCCAAAAUAAGGAUAGGGUCGCAUCUUGGGUGUGACAAUUAGUUGCAUCAAUUUGAGUUCUUCACGGUGAUACAUGUAAGUGAAAUUUGAGAAGAUUAUUACUCUUGGGUGUUUGGGCACCCUAGAGCUUGUGACUCUUGGAUGAUUUGGCGCCCUAGAUGGUUGGUGGUGUCUCGGAGCUCAAUUAUUAUGGUCUAAAGCUUCGGAAAUCGUCGGGGUCUUUAAUUAGGUUGUGAAGAUUUCUCCGAGCAAUUUGCACCUCGGUGCCGCAAUCCAUUAUGGUGAAGCUUCGUGGUGGUGUUGGGAGCCUUCAAUUAAGUUGUGGAGAUUGCCGCAACCUUGUUUGUAAAGGUUUGGUGGCCGCCUUCAAGGGUAGCACUAGUGAAAUCACGACAUCUUGAUUGUGCGAGGGUGUGAGGAGAUUAUGGUGUACCUAGUGGCUUCUUGGGAACAUUGUGCCUCCACACCGCCCAAAUGGAGAUUAGCAUCCGCAAGGGUGUGAAAUUCACGAUACAUCAUCGUCUUUGCGUGCCUCAGUUAUCUCUUACCCAAAUUGUUUACUUAUGCACUUUACUUUGUGAUAGCUAUAUUGUUUCUUGUUAUAUAUCUUGCUAUCACUUAGUAAUUCAUCUUGCUUAGUAUAAGUUGUUGAUGCACAUAGAUGAGCCUAGUUGUUUUAGGUUUUGUGCUUGACUAAUUAAACACUAGUUUUAUUCUGCAUUUGUUCAAGCCUAAACUUCGCGUGUGACUACCGAUGGCCGUCGUCGAGCAACCUCAAACAACAUCAUUCCCGUGGCUACAGACGCCGAGCUGACCGACCGUGAAGGGUGAACGAGCGCCUUGACAACCGUCGAUGCCCACUGCACCCGCGAGGAGAAGGACCUCAGCCUGCGAGCACAACGCGGACCACGCCUAAUCCCACCUACUUGGAGUGAAAUCUCCAACCCGCCUCGGGUCCAAACAGGUCAUGCCGCCAUCACUGUGCGAGUAGCCAGUGCUGCAUUUGGCACCGGGCACAUCUCACAAACCACCUCGACGCCCCUGCAACACAAGUGAAGACCCGCCAGCCACCACAACACCACCGCACGAACCACGAGCCUGCAACUUCCGCAGCCGCACCACCAAACGCCACACUCCGUCACCAAAGACGUAGAGGCCGCUCUACUAGCACAGGGCACCAUCAUGGGGCUCACCUGGAUCCAGAAGGGUCAGAUCUGGGAGUGCCAUCGCUGGUCGUCUCCAUAUCAGGCGAGACACCCCCUGCCCGCGCUGGGGGAUCCAGAAGGGUCGGAUCUGGGCAAUGUACAUAGACGCACCUAGGCUUUUAUAUGAGCCGGACCAUCUAAAGAAACUUGAUAAGGAAAGAAAAUCCUAUCUCUAGCCCGAGAGCUAAAAACUAAACAAAACAAAUCCACGACCUGUCUAAAGAUAACUAUAGGACUAAGGCUGGUCAUAGUGGGGAGUAUCAUAUAGUAGUAUCAUGCAUAUGAUACUAUUGUAUGAUACUACCUUCAUAAUGCAUAUUUCAUAAACUAGUAUCAUAGAUGACUUCAUUUAUUGACAUGCAUGACACAUAGUAGCAUAGCAUUUAACAUGUUACGGUAUCUACCUAUGUUAAUCUAACCUUCUCUCUCAUCUUUAAUUAGCUGUCACAUCAGCAUGUUUGCUAGUCUCAAGUACAUGAUACAACCUAAGUUACUCCUACUAUGACCAGCCUAAAGAAGAGGGAGUGUCUAACUAUCAGACAGCUGAUUUUGAUUUCAGUUUAGGUUGAUUUUUUCUUCCAAUGAUGCAACAACACGUGUUAGUGCUUGUAUUGAGUUCGUUCGCAAAAAAGGCGACUGGUUUUAUUCGCUCAUGUCAGUCAAAUUGUGUCCAUUGGCCCGGCUCCCCACCACCCAUUCACGUGCAACAUCUGUCCAUCACUCACUAACGGGUCUCUUUUUUGAAUGGGAAUCUUCUGGACCCGAUUGCGGCUGCACUUUGGUCCAUACACACCCAAACUGAGGGCUCUCCACUUACACCAGCCGGAUGUUCAAGCUAGAACUACUUGUUUUGAUAUUUACUCCCUCGGUUUCUAAAUAUAAGGUGUAUUAGUUUUUUAAAAAGUCAACCGUUGUCUAUGUUUAACCAACGUUAUAGCAAAAUAUAUAAAUAUUUAUAAUACCUAAUAUAUAUAAUAUAGAAAUAUAUUUUAGGGUGAAUCUAGUGAUAAUGAUUCCAUAUAUUCUAGAUAUUGAUAUUUUUGUCGAUAAACUUGGUCAAAGUUUGAGAAGUUUGACUUCAAAAAUAAUGCAUCUUAUAUUUAGGAACGGAGGGAGUAUGUCUCAAAAAACUUUUGAUAUUUCUAGGUGCCUCAUGGUAUUCACAUAUGAAGAAAAUAAAAAUUCUGUCAUACAAAACCCAUUUAGAUGAUUUCUGUAAAAAACCAUUUAGAUGGACAGUGUAGAAAAGCUAAAAAAAUGAAGAAUUCAAAAGUAGCAAGACUAAAUAUAGCUUCUUGUGUAAGGACGUAUGAAAGACAUGAGAAAAUGAGAUAAAAAGAGUUACUUAACUUAUGUAUGGACUAAUUAUAAAAUCUAAAUACAAAACUUAAAUUUUACUACCAAUAAUGAAGAAAAAAUGAACAAAAUAAUCUGACAAAGGGAUAAUGUACCAUCGUCUAUUGAUCGAUGUUAGUGUUGGUGAGGCGGUGAACAAAUGGUACCCUCAUGUAACAAGACUGAGGUGAGAAGGUCAAAAAGCUUGAAAAUCCCGUGUCCAUUCAUGUCAAUGGACUUAGUUUUUUUUUUUUGAAAGAUCCAACUGCUGGCUGGCAUAUAUUUAGAUAACAGGAAGCAUGGCGGGAAUACAAAAGUGUGGGGUUGAUCAAAAGAUCAAAAGGACAUAACAAGAAGAAAACCGCGGAAAAAUUUGUGAAAGCCAAGAUAGCCUGGCACAGACGCCGUACUCCUCACGUAAUUUCUCCAAACGGGUGCUCUAGGAAAACUGCUCCUGCUUGCCUUCAAGACUGGAGAGUUGUAGAGAUGGAGGUGGAUAUGCUUGCUGCUCUUGCUGUUUUGUUUCUGAAAGUGCACUCAUUCCUCUCUUUCCAGAUUUCUGACAAAACGAGCGCGAUCAUUGUCCUGGUUCCUUUUUUGUACUCUGGUCUUGCCUUGCUUAUCAUUGUGGUCAUGAUCUCUCUGGCUGUUUUGUUGUGGGCCCGAAUUGUUGGGCUUAGUGAGGCGCAUCCGGUGCGAGAUGCCGUCUCCCCCCAUACUGUUGUUGCGACGUUGCAUUUCCAGAAAAGAUGAUCUGCUGAUUCUAAAUUUCUGAGGCAUAGCUGACAGAAGUAUCUGUUUUGCCAUCCCCUUCUUUGCAAUCUGUCGUUGCACCAGAGCCUAUUUUUUGUCAGCAGCCAUAUGAAUAUCUUGACCCUUUGCGGUGCCCAAGUCUUCCAUGUAAAGUUGCUGAUUUCCGACGUUGUUCUUCCUAGGAAUUGGGCUUUGUAUGCUGAGUUGGCAGUGUAAGUCCCCGAGGCCUCAUGUCUCCAUUUGAUUUGGUCUCUUGCUUGCUCUAUCAGCUGGAUGUCUGCUUCCUGGAUCCAUCUAUGCAGACGGAGGACGUCAACCCAAAGGUGCGUGGUGUCUCCGUGCGCAAGGUCAGCUAUCCAUGUGUUUCCUUGUAGCGCCUCUUUCACAUUCCUAUUUUUUCUCCGUGAGUGCCUGAAGAGCGAUGGGUAUAUCGUCUUUAGCGCCCCCUCACCCGUCAAUGGACUUAGUGAACGCCGCAGACUCCACGACUUUGUCAACCUCGCUGGCACCAGGCCAUCUAUGUUGAAAUGAACCAAAUAUCCCUCUUGAAUCUUGUAUCCCGAAUUCCCGAUGAAGCUCUCACAGUUAACGCCAUGGAUGUGAGUCCUUUCUUGAGCUCAGCAACGUAUAUGGGCCACUCUGUUGCCCUAAAGCACAAAUUGAUUCCAAUUGCAUGUCAAAUGAGAUCGUUGCAUUACAUGUAAUGAUCUGUGCAGCAAACAAAAUAAGAAAAAAAGGAUGAGAAAAAGAUCGAUGAGACAACUAUAGAAAAUGGGAGUAGAAAAACGGGUGUUUGUGCAGAUUGUUUCCACUAAACUCUCUAAGUCUCCCGCUAAAAUGAUCUCUCGAAGUUUCUAAUAAGCAGACUAGGCACACCAUUUGUGAUGGUGUGGUGAACGAGAUUUGUUAAUGCUGAAAAAAACGUCACAAAAAAAUAGAAAUGAGUUAGAAGUGUUUCGUCUUUUUGAAAUGUUCAAAGCAAUUUUGUAGCUAUCUACGAAAAAAUAAAAAAAAACAGGUCGCCUUACCUCUGCCCCGGCAAAAAUCAUGUAAAUAAACCUAAUGACUGAAUAAACCUCGGACAACCACCACAACACUUUCACACAAGACAUGGAAUUUGCAGAAAUAAAAAAAAAGAUAAUUAGAAAAGUAAAAUGGAUAAUUAUUAACCGAUUACCAAACUUGGUUUGUCGAUGAUCGUAGAAACAAGUUACCGAAGAAGAAUGAUACUUUAGAGCCAAAUUGAACUUCAUAGCCACCUUAUAGAGAUAAGCAAUGAAAGAGGCACUCAUUACUACCCAGGACAGAAAAAUACGAAGGUCCUAAGACCAAGCGGGAUGCAGGGAAAACUAACUAACAAUCGAAUUAGGUGAAAACACAUUUUUUGUGUGUCUUUGUGUAACGUCCAAGAUGUGAUCCUAUCAUUAUUUUGGAACGAGGGCCUUGACAAGGAUAGAAACGCAUCUCGUCGUUUCACAAAAAUGGAUAUCGUUACAAGUACAUGUAAACAAGAGAUGAGUAUAUGGAAUUGGCUUACAAUCGCCACAAGCUAAUCAUGAUCAUCUCAAUACAAAUAUACAUUCAAUCAUCAAUUAGAAGGGCGGGGUUCGACUACGGACGAAAUCAAACGAUAAAACGGCGUCCAUCCUUACUAUCCGAGGCUGCCGGUCUGGAACCCAUCCUAGAUCGAUGAUGAAGAAGAAGAAACUCUAAAUAGAACAAUCAUCGCGCUCAUGCCAAAGUAUCGCUUUUACCUGUACCUGGAACUGUUAUUUUAGUAAGGUGUGAACCACACAGACUCAACAAUCUCAUUUUGAAAGAUAUCAAGACUAGCAAAUAUUAAUGGGUGAGGUAUGGUUAAGUUGUGAGGCUCCCGCACGCAACUAAGCAUUUAUUUGAGUGUCUAACUUAGGAGUACAAGAAUAAGAGGGAGGGGGUGAUCUACGCAUAAAUGGUCGUGAACUGGUAAUGAUCAAGAAAUGAUCUUGAACACCUACUUACGAGUCAAGCAUAACCCCACUGUGUCCUCUCUCGGAUCAAAAAGUCACGAGAAGAGACACUCACGGUUACGCACACAGUUGGCAUAUUUUAAAUGCGUUUAUUUCAAGUUUGCUAUGAUCGGGUGUCAAACAAAGUUUGCAAGUUGCCACAUAACCGCGGGCACGACUUUCUGAAAGAUUUUACCCUGCAGGGAUGCUCCAACUAGUCCAUCACAAACUAUCACAAGCUGCAUGGAAAACCUCAACCACGGAAAACCUGUAGUCUCCUCGGAAUCCCGGUGGAAAACCUCAACCUCGAGAUAGCCCAAAGUAUCCUCGGAAUUCCGUGCACAAUACAUUCGAUAAGAGUAAAACAAAUACAGCAAGAUCGCCCGGCAGGCCAGAUCCCAAUAGGAGCCGUGCAUAUAUCUUUCUUAGGGCACUAACGGAUGAGCUACACGUACGGUAGCCUGAUAGAAAUCCCCCGAGUUUCCCCGGGGUGGCCCUGCACAGUGCUCUAUUUAGGACCAACACCAUCAACACUGGCCCUCCCUGUGUUAUGUUCAACUAAUCCACGGGUAGCGCUAACUCCCUAUGCGUUACUAACGGUGUUAAGAAUUAUUAUGUUGGGCAUAUACAGUACCAAUGUUGGGCAUUUCCGGUAGAGUUUUAUCCCAAAACGAAAAUCAAGGGGAUCCCCAUAACAACCAAAAUCAUGUUUGGAGCGCUCAAUAUGGGACAUAACACCGGUGCACAAGUAACCAGGGCGACAAAGAGCGAACAAAACACCAAGCCAAAAGACCGAGCCUUCGAGCUUUUACCAAAUAUAUAUGCGCAUUAAAUUAAAUAGCAAUAAUAUUGUGAUAUAAUAAGGAAUCCAUGUUGUCACAUGGAAGCAACUUGCACCUGCACCUGCACCUAGAAAUGCUAUAAGAAGGGCUGAGCAAGCGGUAACAUAGCCAAACAAAAGGUUUGCUGGGAUAUAUAGGGGGUUAGAGGCUUUUCAUGACAAUGUUGGGAGGUUUAUCAUUCAAGUGGUAUCCAGGGAAAUAGUCAUCUUGCCCGUGAUACCGCUUGAAAAAAAACGAAUUUGUGAAGUAGAUGAACGGGUGUAGUCGAACAAAUCCUCAUAUUCCGAAUCAGUUAAAGAAAUCUAUCGAGAAGCACCAAUCCGGAAACAAACAAUCAACACAAAAUAAACACCACAACAUAUACAUGACAUGAUGCGCAGACUAAUAUGAUGCAUUCCAUUUAAUUAUACAUGACAUGACAAAGCACAACAAUCAACUUCUGCACAUUAAGUGAAGCUCAAUAUGCAACAAGUUGCAUAUUGAUGAAACUUCAUGUUUGAAUUACUUAGUUCACUUACGUUUAGGUACACGACAAUAUUAAAUGUUAUUAAACAUGAAUGGUCAUGGCAUAAGGUGAAGAUGGAAUUAAGCAAUUUUUAAAUGGAGAAGGAGAACAUACAUAUAACAAAAUAAUAACUCUCUAUAUUUAAGAGGAAUGCGGUUAAUGUUGUUUUACUAAACAAUCAUUUCUAAAUGUUUUUAAUCAUGGCAAGAGGUGAAGUAUGAACAACUACAUCAUCUAGGCAUUUUAAAUGAGGCCGGACACAACAAAUAACAAUUCUUGAAAGUCCCCAUAUGUAAUUUUUGAAAUUGCUAUUGUUAUGCCUAGAACACAAUUUUAGAGUUGUUAAACAGCAAAAUAAUUGUGACCAUGUUAUUCUAUACAUUUUUCUGGUCUGCAUAAGGUGUCACAUAACCAACAUGGAGGUGGUUUUCUUGUGCUCACCUUGCGGGCCUUCACGUCAGCGGAUCUAGGCAGGUGGUUGGGCUGUGGUUGUGAUGAGCUGGGCUGGGCCUGUUGCUGCAGGGCGCUGGCGGUCCACACGCUGGAAGCACCAACAAGUGUUGGGCCAUGUUGGCCACACAAGGAGGUCAACGGGGCACAUGAUCGAGAAGCCCUGUGCAUCCAAGGGACAACCAUGGCUGCGGCACGACGAACUCCGGCGACGGAACGACGUGACGGUGCGAUUCAGCGGGGUCCGGCCGAAUCUGGACGGAUGCAGGCAUGAGGGGCCCAUUCCCGGCGCUGGUGGGUGGUUCCUGGCGACGUCCUUGCAGAUUGACGGGGAAGCUGGUGGGCUUGCGUCCAUGGUGUUGGGAGCAAGUCCUAGAAGAGGGAGGAGCAGGGGUGCGACGAGGCCCGGUCUAGCGGGGGUCGACGGCGAUGGUGGCUGUUGCUCCAUGUCACGCCCAAGAUGCGACCCUAUCCUCAAUUUGGCAUGAAGGCCUCGUCAGGGAUAGAAGCGCAUCUCGUCGUGUCGCAAGAAUGGAUAUCGUUACAAGUACAUGUACUGAAAAGAAGAGGUAUAUAACAGAGUUGGCUUACACUCGCCACAAGCUACGUCAGAGUCACAUCAGUACAUUACAUAUUCAUCAAGAGUAAGAGCAGGGUCCGACUACGGACGAAAACAAACGAGAAAAGAAGAACGACGUCCAUCCUUGCUAUCCCAGGCUGCCGGCCUGGAACCCAUCCUAGAUCGAUGAAGAAGAAGAAGAAGAAGCAACUCCAAAUGAACAAUCAACGCGCUCGCAUCAAGUAUCCUUUACAUGUACCUGCAACUGGUGUUGUAGUAAUCUAUGAGCCACAUGGGACUCAGCAAUCUCAUUUCCAAAGGUAUCAAGACGAGCAAAGCUUAAUGGGUGAGACACGGUUAAGUGGUGAGGUUGCAGCAGCAGCUAAGCAUUAUUUGGUGGCUAACUUACGAGUACAAGAAAUAAGAGGGGGAACAUCUACGCAUAACGGACGUGAACUACUGAUGAUCAAAUGAAUGAUCCUUAACACCUACCUACGUCAGACAUAACCCCACCGUGUCCUCAAUCGGAGAAGGAACUCACGAAAGAGACAGUCACGGUUACGCACACAGUUGGCAUAUUUUAAUUAAUUAACUUCAAGUUAUCUAGAACCAGUGUUAAACAAAGCUUCCACGUUGCCACAUAACCGCGGGCACGACUUUCCGAAAAGAUUUAACCCUGCAGGGGUGCUCCAACUAGUCCAUCACAAAUUACCACAAGCCGCAUAGAAAUCCUCAAUCACGAAGCUCGCGAUCUCGUCGGAUUCCCUAGUGGAAAACCUCAACUCUGAGGUUACCCAAAGCAUCACCGGAAUCCCGAUGCACAAGAUAUCUCGUCAAAGGUAAAACUAAUCCAGCAAGGCCGCUCGGCGUGUCGACGAUCCCGAUAGGAGCCGCGUAUCUCGUUCUGAGGACACGACGGAUAAGCUACGCAUACGAGUGCCAAACCUCGAGUUUCCUCGCGGUGGCCCCGCACAGUGCUCUGUUUUGGACCAGCACCAUCAGCACUGGCCCUCCCUGUAUAAUGUGAAAUUACUCCUCGGGUUCAUGACGCCCUAUGCUUUCAGUAUUAACAAAGUUAUUAUGCUGGGCAAAUGUAGUACCAAUGUUGGGCCUUACCAGACCAGUUUUAGUCCAAAACGAAUUAUCAAGGGAGCCCCCAUAACAACCCCGAUCGUGUUAGGAGCGCUCGUUUAUGGAACAUAACACCGGUAGCCGAAACUAAGGGGGCAAAGGUGGAACAAAACACCAGGCUAGAA